rnacentral:rRNA from 1 species
ACUCCUACGGGAGGCAGCAGUGGGGAAUAUUGCACAAUGGGCGCAAGCCUGAUGCAGCCAUGCCGCGUGUAUGAAGAAGGCCUUCGGGUUGUAAAGUACUUUCAGCAGUGAGGAAGGUGGAUAUGUUAAUAGCAUAUCUUCAUUGACUGUAGCUGCAGAAGAAGCACCGGCUAACUCCGUGCCAGCAGCCGCGGUAAUACGGAGGGUGCGAGCGUUAAUCGGAAUUACUGGGCGUAAAGCGCAUGCAGGUGGUUUGUUAAGUCAGAUGUG